rnacentral:sRNA from 1 species
GAGCAUGGCUGAGGCUGCCUGUAGUCUAGCUGUUCAGAAAGCCAAGGCAAGAGUAUCACUUGAGCCCAGGAUUUGGGGGCCACCCUAGGCAACAGAGUGAGACCUUGCCUAUU